UCGUAGUUAGGGUUUUCUUUUCUUUUGCUUUGUUGUUGAGAAAAAUGGUGGAGAACCAAGCCACCCUUCACUUAAUAAAUCAGAAGAAGAGAGUCAAAUAUAAACACCACUUUUCCGUUCAGGUAAUGAGUCAUGCAAAUUUACAUCGGAUCGGUGAUUUACCAGAAAAUGUAGGCCUCUAUCUCUGUCUCACAAUCUCCAAACUCUCACUCUCCUUCUCUCUCUCGCUCUACCUCUCUUGAUACUUCAUCUUAAUUAUUUGCUUAAUUUAUUCAGAAUUAUAAGAAUAUGUUAUAUCAAUUUAUUUCACUGAUCUCUGCCCAUCUAUAAUCCAAAUUGAAUUGUGUGUAUUUUAGGACCUCCAAGCAAACUUUGUGUGGAGCUCUGGCAUCCAGCAUUUGGCUUCCAGCUUAACCUGUUGUGUUUCCACAUAGGUAGGACAUGGCUCUGCUAUGGUCGGUUCAUUUCCCUUCCCAAUACAUAAUUGGCAACAGACUGGAUUAUGUUGUUUCUGGGAUUACGCGCCUGUCAAACUGCUCUUCUGCGAUCUGUUGUUAUACAUCAUAUGGUGUAAUUUUUCUCACCUACCCCCGUGUAAAUUAGCUGGUAGAAUAUUAUGGACGUAAUUGGUCUGACCUAUACCCCCAGUUUAAGGAGGCCUAGGGUGUCGAAUCAAUGCAGGCUCUACUCUCCUCGUAGAGAAGUAUGGACGCUCUUCAAAGCUAGUUGGGGCUUCUUUGUUUGAUCUUGUUCUUGAGAAUAAAAUGGAGAAAAUUCAAGUGUACUUCUUUUCCUAAAUGAAAAGAUAGUUAAAUACAAAGACCAGUAUUCUUUCUUUCAGAUCAUGAAUCAUACUAAUUUAAUUACAUCAAAUUGGUGAUUUAACACAAAAAUGAAAGACUCUUUCAGUGUCGUGGACAAGUGAAGACCCUUGGAUGGAUUGUGAAUACAAGAUUUCUUCAAAUGUACCUGCAGAACUGCAUAGGCUCCCAUUCCGUCGUUAUAACAUGUUUGCAUAAUAAAAUGUACUGAUAUAUAGGCAUCACAUGUAUGUUAUAUAUAUAUAGGGUUUAGGGUUUACAUAUGUUCUUUGUAUACAGAAUCAAACUUCUACAUAUAUAAAGGAAUGGAG
rnacentral:lncRNA from 1 species